rnacentral:rRNA from 1 species
AUUGAACGCUGGCGGCAGGCUUAACACAUGCAAGUCGAGCGGGGGAAGGUAGCUUGCUACCGGACCUAGCGGCGGACGGGUGAGUAAUGCUUAGGAAUCUGCCUAUUAGUGGGGGACAACAUCUCGAAAGGGAUGCUAAUACCGCAUACGUCCUACGGGAGAAAGCGGGGGAUCUUCGGACCUUGCGCUAAUAGAUGAGCCUAAGUCGGAUUAGCUAGUUGGUGGGGUAAAGGCCUACCAAGGCGACGAUCUGUAGCGGGUCUGAGAGGAUGAUCCGCCAAACUGGGACUGGGACACGGCCCAGAUUCCUACGGGAGGCAGCAGUGGGGAAUAUUGGACAAUGGGGGGGACCCUGAUCCAGCCAUGCCGCGUGUGUGAAGAAGGCCUUAUGGUUGUAAAGCACUUUAAGCGAGGAGGAGGCUACUCUAGUUAAUACCUAGGGAUAGUGGACGUUACUCGCAGAAUAAGCACCGGCUAACUCUGUGCCAGCAGCCGCCGUAAAAC